rnacentral:rRNA from 1 species
UGAAGCGGUGAAUUUAAGCCCCAGUAAACGGCGGUGGUAACUAUAACCAUCCUAAGGUAGCGAAAUUCCUUGUCGGGUAAGUUCCGACCUGCACGAAUGGCGUAACGAUGGCGGCGCUGUCUCCACCCGAGACUCAGUGAAAUUGAAAUCGCUGUGAAGAUGCAGUGUAUCCGCGGCUAGACGGAAAGACCCCGUGAACCUUUACUAUAGCUUUGCACUGGACUUUGAAUUUGCUUGUGUAGGAUAGGUGGGAGGCUUUGAAGCGUGGACGCCAGUCUGCAUGGAGCCAACCUUGAAAUACCACCCUGGCAACUUUGAGGUUCUAACUCAGGUCCGUUAUCCGGAUCGAGGACAGUGUAUGGUGGGUAGUUUGACUGGGGCGGUCUCCUCCUAAAGAGUAACGGAGGAGUACGAAGGUGCGCUCAGACCGGUCGGAAAUCGGUCGUAGAGUAUAAAGGCAAAAGCGCGCUUGACUGCGAGACAGACACGUCGAGCAGGUACGAAAGUAGGUCUUAGUGAUCCGGUGGUUCUGUAUGGAAGGGCCAUCGCUCAACGGAUAAAAGGUACUCCGGGGAUAACAGGCUGAUACCGCCCAAGAGUUCAUAUCGACGGCGGUGUUUGGCACCUCGAUGUCGGCUCAUCACAUCCUGGGGCUGAAGCCGGUCCCAAGGGUAUGGCUGUUCGCCAUUUAAAGUGGUACGCGAGCUGGGUUUAGAACGUCGUGAGACAGUUCGGUCCCUAUCUGCCGUGGGCGCUGGAGAAUUGAGGGGGGUUGCUCCUAGUACGAGAGGACCGGAGUGGACGAACCUCUGGUGUUCCGGUUGUCACGCCAGUGGCAUUGCCGGGUAGCUAUGUUCG